UUGAUCCUGGCUCAGAACGAACGCUGGCGGCGUGGAUAAGACAUGCAAGUCGAACGAGAGAAUUGCUAGCUUGCUAAUAAUUCUCUAGUGGCGCACGGGUGAGUAACACGUGAGUAACCUGCCCCCCAGAGCGGGAUAGCCCUGGGAAACUGGGAUUAAUACCGCAUAGUAUCGAAAGAUUAAAGCAGCAAUGCGCUUGGGGAUGGGGUCGCGGCCUAUUACUUAGUUGGUGAGGGAACGGCUCACCCAAGCGAUGACGGGUAGCCGGUCUGAGAGGAUGUCCGGCCCCACUGGAACUGAGACACCGUCCACACACCUACCGGGGGCGGCCGGCGAGAAUCCUUCACAAUGGGGGAAACCCUGAUGGUGCGACCCCGCCUGGGGGAAUGAAAGUCUUCCGAUUGUAAACCCCUGUCAUGUGGGAGCGAAUUAAAAAGAUAGUACCACAAGAGGAAGAGACGGCUAACUCUGUGCCAGCAGCCGCGGUAAUACCGAGGUCUCAAGCGUUGUUCGGAAUCACUGGGCGUAAAGCGUGCGUAGGCUGUUUCGUAAGUCGUGUGUGAAAGGCGCGGGCUCAACCCGCGGACGGCACAUGAUACUGCGAGACUAGAGUAAUGGAGGGGGAACCGGAAUUCUCGGUGUAGCAGUGAAAUGCGUAGAUAUCGAGAGGAACACUCGUGGCGAAGGCGGGUUCCUGGACAUUAACUGACGCUGAGGCACGAAGGCCAGGGGAGCGAAAGGGAUUAGAUACCCCUGUAGUCCUGGCAGUAAACGGUGCACGCUUGGUGUGCGGGGAAUCGACCCCCUGCGUGCCGGAGCUAACGCGUUAAGCGUGCCGCCUGGGGAGUACGGUCGCAAGAUUAAAACUCAGAGAAAUUGACGGGGACCCGCACAAGCGGUGGAGUAUGUGGCUUAAUUCGAUGCAACGCGAAGAACCUUACCUGGGCUUGACAUGUAAUGAACAACAUGUGAAAGCAUGCGACUCUUCGGAGGCGUUACACAGGUGCUGCAUGGCCGUCGUCAGCUCGUGUCGUGAGAUGUUUGGUUAAGUCCAGCAACGAGCGCAACCCCUGUUGCCAGUUACCAGCACGUGAAGGUGGGGACUCUGGCGAGACUGCCCAGAUCAACUGGGAGGAAGGUGGGGACGACGUCAGGUCAGUAUGGCCCUUAUGCCCAGGGCUGCACACGUACUACAAUGCCCAGUACAGAGGGGGCCGAAGCCGCGAGGCGGAGGAAAUCCUAAAAACUGGGCCCAGUUCGGACUGUAGGCUGCAACCCGCCUACACGAAGCCGGAAUCGCUAGUAAUGGCGCAUCAGCUACGGCGCCGUGAAUACGUUCCCGGGUCUUGCACACACCGCCCGUCA
rnacentral:rRNA from 1 species